rnacentral:rRNA from 1 species
UACGUAGGGUGCAAGCGUUAAUCGGAAUCAUUGGGCGUAAAGCGCGCGUAGGCGGCCAGAUAAGUCCGGUGUGAAAGUCACAGGCUCAACCUGUGAAUGCCGCUGGAAACUGUCUGGCUUGAGUCCGGAAGGGGCGAGUGGAAUUCCUGGUGUAGCGGUGAAAUGCGCAGAUAUCAGGAGGAACACCAGCGGCGAAGGCGGCGCUCUGGGCCGGUACUGACACUGAGGAGCGAAAGCGUGGGGAGCGAACAGG